AACCGGACGAAGGGGUUGGCCUUGAUGAGGACUGAGAUCACGACUCGGGGUCUCGGCUGUUCUGCCCGUCUAGUCCAGGGGGAUUUUCAGGGCCUGCUCUGGAUUCGGUUUUCUCCACUUGCUGUUGUCGUUUCUAGCGAAACCUUUGUGGGCGCUUUCUCUCUCGUCCUCCCUUUUCAGGUCGUGGCCCCUGGCGGGAUUCAGUCCAGACCGCCCAGCGCUCCCCGCGCAAGGAGGGAGAAGCAAAAGCGUAUCUCCUGUGCCAGGAGGGAGGGAAGCCGAGCAGCCACGUUCAGCCAGCCUCGGACCGUGGCAAGAAGCCACCGCCAGCCCACCCCUCUGGAGCACCGCGGGAACUCAGCGAGCCCCUUGCGGCACAACCGCCGGGCCCGUGGAAGGCAGCUCCCUCAGCACCGGCUGCGGCCCUACAUUAUCUCCCCACGGCCCCUGUGGUGGCCUAUCCGCUGUCCUCCCUCAUCUACUGUCCUCUGCUCGCAACUACCUCGUCCGCUUCCCCAGCUGGCCUUCCCACUUACGAUGCCCGCAGGUUCCAGGCCCCGGAGCUGAAAACUUGGGCCUCUCGGCCGGAGCCAUCAGAUCGCCGGGGCACCCUGAUGUUUGGUGGCGGCCUGCGGGACCUCAACCGCUCGCUGCGCCGUGCCGUGGACGCGGCCAAAGACAUGAAGGCGACCACCCAACAGAUGAGCCGGUCUUUGGCUUGGGAACUGAGCAAGGCGAAACAUCUGCGGAGAUCCUGCCUCUUCUGAUGGGAGAAGUAGGCCACCCCCCUUUCUUUCUGCGGCGCUCGGCGAGACCCCUGAGAAACAGGGAAUUGAGAUGCCUAACCCCUAUUGCAGAGGAGAACUUGGGAUUCCUCCACGUUCGGGAGGAACAUUUUGGGGUGGCCAAGAAUCUGAAGCAUCGUGGAAGCUUGAAAGAGGGAUCCCGGAGAGAGCAGGUUCAUAAACUGCAUUUGCCUUGCACUUCUGUAAGGAGACGGCCGGGAGUCGCCUCUAAACCUCGGUCCUGCUCUUCCCCGUUCCCUCCUGACUGAUCUGGAACAAGUCACAAGAUUUCCUCUUUCCCGGAAGCUCUUCCGCUCACCUCGUGCCUCUUCUCAAGCACAGAAAGGCAAAAGCGUCUGCAAUUUUAGGACUGAAAUACGUCCUUUCGCUUUCACGGGGCAAAAAUGAGGAAAGGGCAGGAAAUUGUGGCUGCUUUUCGGUUCUUAAAAAAGUGGCCACCAGAAGGGCCUGUAGUCCGGUACGUGUGUCUAACGUUGACCAAGGACCUGCGAAUCUUCAUAACCGCCCUGCGUUUCCCAGCGUUGGGUCCUUCACACUCUGAAGUGGUCGAGUCGUGCCGUCUCUUCCCGGACACGUUUUUUCUCUCCUUACCUCAAUUGUUAUUAUGCCUUAAGUCUUCAGACCCCAGCUUGUCGGAAGAAAGUCGGACCCGAUCCGUCAUGAAACAGCUUCACCUGUUGCACGGAGUUGAUGAGUCAGUCCGGCUUAAUCUGGCCAGCCUAUUUUUAUAAAAGGAAUCUGGAAAACAGGAAGAAGCAACUGGACGUUUCUCCAGGGCUGUGGAAUAACUUCUGCUUUAUCCGUCUCCUCCCGAUAAAGCCGUCUUGGAACCAGCGUUGCCCGACACUGCGUCCUCUCGGAGGAAAGUCGGCUUUCUCUAAUGCUGCUGGUCCAUGGGUGACAACUUCUGUAAAUCCAUGCCUAGGAACUGAAAUGUGCUGGUUGCACGUCAUCGGUAAAACUCCCCACUGGCUGUAAAAGUGCUUGUAUUGACCCUCUAAAACCAGAGAGCAUAUCCGUAGCAGUACCUACCUCACGUCUUGUGUGUGUCUGUGUGCGAGCAGAAAAAGGAAGACUGGAUCGUUGUUUUUUUAAAAGACCCAUUCAUUCUGAACCACAUGUUGUGUCAGUCCAAAGACUUGUACGAAUAUAACUAGUGCCUGGUGGUAGAUUUUUUUAAAAAAAAGCAUUCCGAUGUGGGGUUUUUUAAAGUAAUAAUUCUGAGAGUUUCAUUAAUCUUAUUUAAAUCUGCAGAGAGAUCAAAGCUGUAUAGUCUUUUUGGAGCUGGAGAGAACAAACCUUUUAGACGAGGGCAUCGCCCCACAUCUCCUUGUGAGUGAGAAAGACAAACUAGAUCUUCUAAGAAAGUGCAUACCGCAUGCCAGUUUUGCAGUUGCAUUAAAAAAAUGAAGAUUUUUUUUAAAUACAUCAUUGUCUAAAUCUAAAAGACAAUGAAAGAGGUUUCUGAUACACAAAAUAAAACCCCAGAUGACUAAUCA
ensembl:lncRNA